CGGCCGCCACGGUGCCGGACCCGCGGGGGAAGCGGCCGGGCCUGGGCUGUGCUCGGCGGUCCCACCCCGAGCAGCGCUGGAGCCGUCGGUUUGAUUCUCAGCACGCAACAGGCAAUUUUAAUUCUUUGAAUAACGUUGUAUUGCUCCGAUAGACGUCCAUUUUGAGCACCUUGGAGCGCCCACAUCAGUGCUGCUCUUUGGAUCAUCAGUGUGCUUUUGGAGCACAUCUGCCACACUGUGCUUGGACAUGCUGGCACAGAGCAGCCUCACAGCCGCCCAUUUCAUGGCAUUCAGAUGACACCGGGCUGGAGAAAGGCUCCAGGAACUGUUUGUAAAAGCUGGUGCUGCAUUAGCCAUCUCCUAAGGCUUUGUGUGGAAGCAGUUUCAAAGGAAGACUUGCACACUUCUGCAGGGAUGGUGGGGACCAUCUGGCAAUGGUUAGUUUGUUAUUAUUCACUUUGUCAAUUUAUUCUAACCCUUACUGGUGCUUCAAUGUGAGAAAGAUCCUGAGACAAGCUUGUGAGUUCCUUUCUGGGAACUACCCCAGCCUUCUUCACAAUAAACACAUGCAAAAAGC